UACGGAGGGAGCUAGCGUUGUUCGGAAUUACUGGGCGUAAAGCGCGCGUAGGCGGCCUUGCAAGUUAGAGGUGAAAGCCCCGGAGCUCAACUCCGGAACUGCCUUUAAAAACUGCAUAGCUUGAAUCCGGGAGAGGUGAGUGGAAUUCCGAGUGUAGAGGUGAAAAUUCGUAGAUAUUCGGAAGAACACCAGUGGCGAAGGCGGCUCACUGGACCGGUAUUGACGCUGAGGUGCGAAAAGCGUGGGGGAGCAAACAGG
rnacentral:rRNA from 1 species